rnacentral:rRNA from 1 species
AUUGAACGCUGGCGGCAUGCUUUACACAUGCGAAUCGAACGGUAACAGGCCUUCGGGUGCUGACGAGUGGCGAACGGGUUAGUAAUGCAUCGGAACGUGCCCAGAGGUGGGGGAUAACGCAGCGAAAGCUGUGCUAAUACCGCAUGUGAUCUGAGGAUGAAAGCGGGGGACCAAGCAGCAAUGUUUGGCCUCGCGCCUCUGGAGCGGCCGAUGUCAGAUUAGGUAGUUGGUGGGGUAAAGGCCUACCAAGCCGACGAUCUGUAGCUGGUCUGAGAGGACGACCAGCCACACUGGGACUGAGACACGGCCCAGACUCCUACGGGAGGCAGCAGUGGGGAAUUUUGGACAAUGGGCGCAAGCCUGAUCCAGCAAUGCCGCGUGCGGGAAGAAGGCCUUCGGGUUGUAAACCGCUUUUGUACGGAACGAAAAGGCUCUGGCUAAUACCUGGGGCUGAUGACGGUACCGUAAGAAUAAGCACCGGCUAACUACGUG